GAUGAACGCUGGCGGCGUGCCUAAUACAUGCAAGUCGAGCGAAGCGGGGACGGGUGAGUAACACGUGGAUAACCUCCUAUAAGACUGGGAUAACUUCGGGAAACCGGGGCUAAACCGUAUAUUAAUAGAUGGAUCCGCGCUGCAUUAGCUAGUUGGUAAGGUAACGGCGUACAAAGGCAACGAUGCAUAGCCGACCUGAGAGGGGGAUCGGCCACACUGGAACUUAGACACGGUCCAGCCGCCUACGGGAGGCAGCAGUAGGGAAUCUUCCGCAAUGGGCGAAAGCCUGAAGGAGCAACGCCGCGUGAGUGAUGAAGGUCUUCGGAUCGUAAAACUCUGUUAUUAGGGAAGCGGUACCUAAUCAGAAAGCCACGGCUAACUACGUGCCAGCAGCCGCGGUAAUAC
rnacentral:rRNA from 1 species